AAUAUGUGGCAUACGGCUCAGUAACACGUAGUCAACAUGCCCAGGGGACGUGGAUAACCUCGGGAAACUGAGGAUAAACCGCGAUAAGUCACUACUUCUGGAAUGGGUAAUGACUUAAAUCUAUAUGGCCCCUGGAUUGGACUGCGGCCGAUCAGGCUGUUGGUGAGGUAAUGGCCCACCAAACCUGUAACCGGUACGGGCUCUGAGAGGAGGAGCCCGGAGAUGGGCACUGAGACAAGGGCCCAGGCCCUAUGGGGCGCAGCAGGCGCGAAACCUCUGCAAUAGGCGAAAGCCUGACAGGGUUACUCUGAGUGAUUUCCGUUAAGGAGAUCUUUUGGCACCUCUAAAAAUGGUGCAGAAUAAGGGGUGGGCAAGUCUGGUGUCAGCCGCCGCGGUAAUACCAGCACCCCGAGUGGUCGGGACGUUUAUUGGGCCUAAAGCAUCCGUAGCCGGUUCUACAAGUCUUCCGUUAAAUCCACCUGCUUAACAGAUGGGCUGCGGAAGAUACUAUAGAGCUAGGAGGCGGGAGAGGCAAGCGGUACUCGAUGGGUAGGGGUAAAAUCCGUUGAUCCAUUGAAGACCACCAGUGGCGAAGGCGGCUUGCCAGAACGCGCUCGACGGUGAGGGAUGAAAGCUGGGGGA
rnacentral:rRNA from 1 species